UUUCUUUUUUGCUGUUUUCUUCUUCCCUUGCUUACGAAGCCCUCUGCUCCAUCUCCUGCCAGAAGAUCUACUGCACCUGAGCUUUCUGCCUGCCUUUCUCUCCGAUUAACGUGCCCUGUCGCUUUUCUGCGUGUCUUCAGUGCCUGCUCUCCCCGCUGACUCCCGCCAGCUGCGGCAGGCUGUGGCUUUAGCUCCUGUACCUGCCAGCCUGAGCAGAAAUGGUGCCUUUUGCAGGAGAAUGGUGGCUCUGACCGAACAUCCGUCUGACGGAGUGACGCUCAGCGAUAUCCUCAUGCUGCCGGGGUGCCAAUCAUAUCUCCAGUGCUUUGACUGUCUGGUUAGGGAGUUGAUUCGAGGGUGUAACGGUGCAGACCGUGAAUGAAAUCUGUGUUACCUGAUGGGCCUGACUCCACAGUGCUGUGUAGACCAGUCUCUUCAAUGCCGCGGCUGAUGUCGCCUGCAUGUCCUGCAGUAGCUGCUGAAGCACUCGACUGCUGAUUUUACUUGCCUGGGAACACAGUAACAUCUGCUCCUCCAGGUUUCGUGAAAGAUGAACUUCAUCAUGGCAGAAAAGGCUGAUUUAUUUUUGGUUCUCAGAACAGUUGUGACAAUAAUAAAAAUUAUAAGCUUGCCUCUAUGUUUGGCUAUUUGCUAAACAGUUUCUGCUCCGACCUGCUCACGACCCCAGCCCCGAAAGCCCAUCUUCCCCAAUGCGUGGGGCAGCACACAGAGCACCGACGGCUGCGUCUGUGCCGGGAGCAGCGCUCCCAUGCGCUGCCUCAUGUCGCACAAAAGCUGAACAGAUUGGCGGUGCAGCGAAAAUGUACCUGUGUUGUAGCCAGCUCUACUGAGGAUGUGUAAAAUGCUAUGGGAAGAAACCUUUCCCAUGCAAAGCUCCGCUCUGAAAGCCUCUCGGAGUUGAAGGUUAAGCAGUUCGAGUUCCAGCUGGAACGAGCAGGCUGACUUUAUACGUGAACUCUGAAAUGUGCAUUCAAAGGUUACACCUGUAACUUUCGCAGCACAGCUGCCUGUUACCCAUGCCCUUGAACUCAGAAGACCAGCAGAGGGUACAGAGAAACUAGCUUUGUCCUGCUACGGGCAACCUGAAGCCAGUCCGCGCUGCUGCUGCUGCUCUUCUUGGAGCACAAAGUUCCCCACGCCGAGUUCCAGCAGUACUCAACAGGCUCGCGACUGUCCAGCUGGGUACAGCCAUCCAGUGACCGUACUGCUUCUACCCUUCACCUCGACUUGCGAUGCUCUUCCGAUUUUGAAGAUGUAGGUCUCAACAUGCCAAUACAUGUUGCCUAAACAUUAGAAGUGCACGUGGGACGGGAAUAAGCAGAACUACUACGUGGGAAGAGCACCGUUCCUCGUGGCUUUAUUCUUCCAAACUACUACUUAAGCCGAUGGUAAUCCUAAGCAGAGCUGAAUGCCGUUUGUCUGGGCUGCACCAGGCAUCCAGAACUGGGCCAAGUCCUCGGGAAACGAUCAGCACCAUUCCACUACGCACAUCCCUCAGCUUUUCCUGACGUACAGGGUCAUUGGACUGAGCUGGUAGAUGUAUCGGUUCAUUAACUUCAUAAGUUAAUGGUUCUCGUUAUGCAAAUUAGUAUUGAGAUGUAAAUUAACCUUUUCCCUGUUAGCUGUUAAAAUAUGAGGGUAUAAUCUCUAUAUUCAGGAUGUUUGUAGAAGAUUAUUACUCACUAGCAUGUGGAUUUUGAUUGAUUAUUUCCAGUUCUAGUAAUCAUUAACAACUACUGGUAGUUUAAGAAUUACUUUUUAUUUCAAAGGGUAGAAUUUAUUUGGCUUUACACCAGGGUAGAUUAAGUAAGCCACGCUGAGCAGUUAUUACCUUUCCCUUCAAUCGCACUGCUGUGUAAAGAGGCAAUACGUUCUGCUGCUUGUGCUUUUUCAACUCUGAAUUUCACCUUUAAUAUUAAUAAAAUAUGUUGACAUAUCAAACAAUGUAACUAAUAGGUAAAGCAGAACAAAAUGAGUCACUAUUUAAACUAUUUUUUUAGAUCACACUUUCUCUAUUAAAGUAUAUCAAUCAAAAGACAAAGAGAUACAACUUAGGUAACCAGAGGAAAAACUUGCAGAAAUGUACAAGGUGAGAUAAACUGAAGGUGAAUAAAAGAACUGCAUCAGAAUUCCCAUAACGAAAGUCCAAGAAAUAAACCAAAUUAACUUCUUGAUUAAAUAUGACUCCUAGGAAGACACGUGCCCUAUCUUGGGAGUUUGUAAUUCUGCCGCAGAUAUGAUGCGGUAAGUCAAAGCUGGGGAGGAAAUAGAAGGGUGGCUGGGUGACGUUUUCCUAACCAUGGGUACAUAAAUAACUACAUGUGUCUGUUCUGCAUGCCUUCUGCUCCAAAAUACUCGACACAGUUCACUUUUUCCUUUGUUCUCUUAAAGUCCUUUUAGCCCAAAGUAUCUUUGCUAACACAGCCUGGUUCUGGUCUCGUUGCUCAGACGUUGUUUUAGCAGAGCCCAUCCUCAAGCAUCUAAUGAGAGUUUAGUCUGAUGCAGCAUACGUAGCAAAGGGCCUGGGGGCAAAAAAAAAAAAAAAAAAAAAAAAAAUCCUAUUAAAUGGACUACUGGUGGGGUCUAUUAGAUUUGUUCUCAAAUUAGGCCCAUGAUGUCUUGGGUGAUUACUGUAGGGUAUUACAAGGUUAUUUUGUGUGCAAGUAUGUGACAGAACAAGGGAUGUUCUAGUAAUUCCAGAACUGCUUAUAUUUUCUCCUAAAAUCAAUACAACCGUAUUAUCUGGACAGACAACUGGUUUGGCUUCGCGCUUGAUUAUAAGGAUAUCUAAUUGCCUGAAGCUCUGCUUGUGGAUUGAGCUACCAAAUGAAACUUUAGAUAAAUAUUCAAAAUAUCCAAGCACUUGGUCAUCGUUUAAAAAUUACCUGUGACAGGAAGACUGUGAAGUCUGUUGUGCGACAAUAUCCCUUUCCUGUGGUACGAGGCCAAGUGUACGGAGAGAAACAAAAUUAUCAAAAUUUCUGGGCUACUGCUCCUUCCUUUGAGCCAUCCUACGGCAGCUCUAAUUCAAAGCUCCUCAAGACAUGUUUCACCGAUUUAUUAUGUGAAACUCCUCCUCCUCAAAGAGGAGAAUUAUCACUUCUCAAAUUUUAACCCAGGUUGUUUCACUCGUGGUUUACAGCGUGAGCCAAUUCAAUAGCUGUCUCGGAACAACUGUGAGGGGGUGACAAGCCACAGUGUGUGCGUAGGAACGAGUGACUUUGCCACCAGAGAUCAUGUAAUGUUAGAAACUUUCCAAACUUCAACAGCACAAUGCUGUCAGUCGAGGCACAAGCCCAUAAAAUUGGGUCUAAUACUGCUGUGGAAACUAUGCUGAGGGCUAAAAAUAUUAUUUAAAAAUUAGAGUUUCUUUUCUUGUGCAUUUUUCCAUCAAUUCCUGACUUCAGUGAGAGUUGUUUCAAGCCCUGUCUGAAAAGAUGGAGCAUUACAGAGAAGUUAAAGAUGAUGUGAAGGUGUUCUGUGACAGCAGUUAACUCUAAAGAAUCACAAAUCUUGUGCUUCAAAUGCACCAAAAAUACCUUACAAGAAUUUUGAAUGUUUGUGUCUUGGAAAUUAGGAUGAACAUACACACAUUUAAGCACUAAACUAGUUAUUAGCAAACACACGUGCUUAAUCCAGGCUAAUUUACAACCUUGAUUGCUCUGGUUUUUUAAUCUUUGAAUACAGUUUUGCAAAUUUUCAGUCCCCAUUGACCUGCUGUUGUGGAAUUGUUCGAAAGUCCUUGACUAAAUAUUAAAUACCCUUGGAGUGUGAUGGGACAUUGUGUGCUACUGGAAGCGCCGCUGGUAGCGCGUCCGCAGUCACCAGCAACACGUGGGCUUGCCCACUGCUACCAAGAGUAUCUGCUUCGUUAUGCUCCCUUGCCUCCUUCCUUUCACCUCCUUAAGAAAGUUAGGUGUUUCUAAAGAGAGAAUUAGAUGGGUGGAACCUUCUUCCAAGGUUACAUGCUUCAAGAAUUAAAAAAGACAUUGGAUGUUUUCCCAUUAGUCUUUAUGGGACUGAGUCAACAGGAGACUUUAAACAGUUGCAGCUUGCAAGGAGACUUGCAGCUCGUGAUGGCUGCAAAAGAGGGCUGAGCCCUAAAUCACCUGAUGGGUCCAUUCCUCUUCCUUCAGUGCAGCAACAGACAUGAGAAGGUGCCAAAAAUAUCCGGGCAGCAAGAAACGUGUGGGUUUGCUGAUUAGUUCACCAUUUCAGAGGUCAUGGGAUUUUGUCGAUGCUAGCAUUAUUCCCUGCACUCGAUCAGAGUGGUUCUGUGUACUCCAGAGGAGCCUUCGGAAGGACGGAGACUUUUUAACCAUUUGGAUUACCACUCAAGAUGAGACAGUUUCUAUUACAGUAUGACUGCUUGUUUUGCUUGCUUGAUUUUACCUUGUUUUGUUUGGUUUUCCUUCAGGAUGGGUAGCCCUGCUCCUAAACCCACGUGUCCUUGCAAGCUUAAGCUUCUACAUGGCCACAAGUAAUUUCAACCUCGAUUUGUGAAAGGGCAAAACCAGGUGUGUGAGAGGGUUUUUCCUACAUGGGUCCAUUACAUGGGAUUCACUUGUGUGUCUUUGCCUGAAAGACUGCAUCUCUCCCAGUGCCUUUUUGUAAGGUGCUGGAAUUCAGAGGUGAAAGCAACCAGCUCGGGACGAGCGUGGCUGCAGCACGCUGCCAUCUCCAUCGCUUUGGGGCUGGGGUGGCACGUGCAGAUCUCAACGGUCAGCCAGCGAUCGCCCAGCACCGCGUAGCUCUGUACGUGACGAGCCGGCUUGUGCUCAGCCCUAGUGCUCUGACCUUCGCUUAAACGCAGGCAGCAACUCUACAUGUCCAUUCUCCAAAGUAGCUGGAUGUGAGUUCACAGACUCCCUGGAGCUCCCAGGCGCUCUCGUGCACGCUCGCCGCAGGCAUCCGGGAUACGAUGGAGCAGCCGGAUGAUGUUGUCGCUUGUUUCUAUUUGCCAGCACAAGGUUACCAAGGCUAAUAUUUGAGGAUCAGGAACACGAACAGAAGAUCCAAGUCUGCUCCUGCUCCCUGGCCAGCUGUGGUAUCUAAGACCCGGACUGCAGUUUGGGAGGUGUCAUCAGAAUUAAGCGUUAAAUCUGAUAGUGGGUGGAAUGCACGGGGUUUGUAAAGCUACAAUUUAGGUAUAUUAUAGACCGAAUAAUAUGCAGUGUGCUGGACGCAACAGGGGAUGCUUCUCUGAUAGAUAAGAUGUUGGCUUCUGAAGGUGAAUUUCUGAUGCAUAAAGAAUUUUGCACCUGAAAAGCGCUAUAACUGAUAAUGUGCACGAGGAACAAUGCUGCUGUCUCACUGGUGAAGAUGAAAGGAAAUGUGUUAACAAAUUGAGUAAUAGGAAAAAAUUGUGACUAACGGACUGAACAAUUCAGACCAUAAUUCUGAAGUUGUAAUGCAAUUUGUCCAUGUAGCUGUGAAAGAAGUUUUGGCCCCUGUUUGGUAACAGGGAUGCAAGAUGUGAAUGCAGAAGGAUCGAGGUUACCUGUAGGUCAAAUGUUACCGUUAGAGCUGGAGUCACUUUAUUCUUUGGGCAUAUAGAAUGCAUAUAGUCACGUGGUUUCCCUUUGGAAGUUAUAGACAGAAAAGACCCAGCAAUUGCAUUGUUCAUUUGUGUAUUAAAUCUAGUUCCUUUUUUUCCCCUUGAAUACUCUCUUAAUAAUUUAAUUUCAAGGCAGUUAACAAAGGAAGUCAAUACUGAACCCCAAGCCAUGGGGUAAGGAAGUGACCAAGACACCCCAUCAGUGCCAGGAGUGGGGAAUAAACUUUGUCUCCUGAGAAUCUAUUCCUGUGCAGUGAUUUUAGUGGCAGACAAUCUUCCCCAAUAGUCAGGUUGGGAAAUGAGUCAAACCAGAAGCAUUUAAAAUAUCACUAUUUUGCAAAGAUUUGGGUUUGUAUAUUAAUCAUCAUCUCUUCUGUUUAUUCAAAAUCAAAUGGCAAUUCUAUGGCUUUUAUGCAUUUCUUUGAUUUCACCCCUUGACUUUGUGCCAGUCUUUGCAGAUCAUUCUCAAUGAAUCUACUUCUAUUAUUUUCUUACUCUGUCAUGUACACUAAAAACCAUCAUAUAUUGUCUCUUAAUCAUGCUAGGAAUGUUCCAGGCCUUUGUAGUCUCUCUCCAUGCAAAUCCUCCAAAUAUUUUUGUUGCUUUCCUUUGAAUUAAUUUCCUCGCUGCCCGUAUUUGCCUGGAAUGAGAGUGAUGAGAAAUGAGCUAUGGUCUCACUGAUGCCCUCCACGGGGAAGACGGUAUUGAGUUUUUGCUAUUGCUUAUCACUUGGGGUCACUCCCUCUACUGUUACCUUCCAGGUAAAUUAUUCCUCUGAAUAUUUUCCUCCUCAUUGGAUUUCUGAGCUAUUACGCCUAAACAUGUAAACCUUCAUAUUUGUAAAUAGUAACUUUAUUUACUGCUUAUGCUUCUGUGCUCAGAGGAAGCUGUUCCCUAUCCUCUGUUUAAUUUAACAGAGAAUGUUUAUGGUGACGGAGCACCUUUAAUUUGAAUCGAUAUCAAAACAUUACCCAAAUGGGCAGCAAGUUAGACUCACAACAGAAAAAUUUAUUUUUAGGAACUGCUGCUAGAAUUGGUAGGAAUAUUCGAACAGAGUCGAAAUUGCAGUGUCUGGUCCUCAGUUCUCUUUUGGAAAGCAUUACCCAGCAACAAAUGAAAUGGAGCCAACAUAACCAUUUAAAAUAGCAAAGUAAACAGUUCAUGUCGUAGUCAAGAUAAUCCUUAAUUUCUGCUGCUUAUCUGAGAUCUGCCCUGCCGAUCUGAUGGGAGGAUUUAACCUUCCUGAGAGCUGUUACCAGUGUAUGUGCUUGAACUGGGAAGACCCCUUUCCACCUGCUUUUCAGAGCCCUUUCUCCUAGAAGAUUAACGCUGCUAUGCCCCUUUUUAGAAAGAAAAACCUCUGAAAUAUGGAUUACUUUGAGGGAUGUAAGUAGGAAUAUUUUGCUACAAUACAGCUUAAGGGAAAUACUUAAAAAAUAAUGCCUAUUUAGAUCUACUUUUUUCUUUACAGAAGAACCGUGUUAUCUUAAAUUCUCAUAAUUUCCGUUAAUUGUGGAAAUUAAAAAUAAUUGGCCUAUGGUUACUGCCAGUUGUGUAACCAACUCAAAAUAAAAGCUAUAGGGGAGUUUAAUUUCAAA